GUUGAGAUGACCGAGUUGGUCUAAAGUGCAAGAUUAAGGUUCUGGUUUGAAAGGGCGUGGGUUCAAAUCCCACUCUCAACA
rfam:Ipomoea nil DNA, scaffold: scaffold2283, cultivar: Tokyo-kokei standard.